CCUACGGGAGGCAGCAGUGGGGAAUAUUGCACAAUGGGGGAAACCCUGAUGCAGCGACGCCGCGUGAGUGAAGAAGUAUUUCGUUACGUAAAGCUCUAUCAGCAGGGAAGAAACACUGCCCUACCGGUCAGCAGACGGUCGCUGAGCAAGAAGCCACGGCUAACUACGUGCCAGAAGCCGCGGGAAUACGUAGGGGGCAAGGGUUAUCCGGAUUUACUGGGUGUAAAGGGAGCGUAGACGGUACGGCAAGUCUGGAGUGAAAGGCCAGGGCUUAACUGCGGAACUGCUUUGGAAACUGGUGAACUAGAGUGCUGGAGGGGUAAGUGGAAUUCCUAGUGUAGCGGUGAAAUGCGUAGAUAUUAGGAGGAACACCGGUGGCGAAGGCGGCUUACUGGACCGUAACUGACGUUGAGGCUCGAAAGCGUGGGGAGCAAACAGGAUUAGAUACCCGGGUAGUC
rnacentral:rRNA from 1 species